UCACUCUAUAAAGCAGAUGCCAAGCACAGAUGGUGAAGAUGUUCCUGGCUUCCACCACUAUCUUGACAGUCCAAAUGCAGUCAGAGAUCACUGGAGAAGGGUAUAUGCCACACCUCCCAGCUGAGACAGCAAAACCUCCAGUCUCUUUCUAAAUGCUUUCUUCAGAACAUCAGUGAUUCAGGAACUGAAAUGAGCCCUACGUUAUAAUAUUUUGUCAAUAAAAAAGACUGGGUCAAAAUCACAUUACUGUUUGAAUGAAAGGAAAGAAGAUAUAAGGAACAAAAACAGAAGUGGAGAGCAGAUGACACAACAAUGAGGAAAAGUUUUUGUUAUAAGAUGAACACAAAGCAUAUAGAAACUUGAUGUUCUGGAGGAUUAUCAAACCCCAAAUGUGAUCUAAAACUGCAUUACAAAUAGAAGCUUUAACUGAAGUGUCAGACUCCUAUCUCUGAUUUGGAAAUCCCUUUGGCUCAUCGUGAAGAAGAUUGAGAAAAUCCUAAACCAAAUUGAAGAUGCAAAAGUCCCUGACUCACCCAGGCUGAGUGAACUCAUACAAGACAAGGUCACGUCUGCGAUCAUAAAUUCCCCAAGACGAUUUUUUUUUAUUAUUCUCUUCUUUUCCACUUUGUGGCAAGGAAACUCUCCCUGCAUUUCUCAACACUUAUUCACUUUUACUUGAAGAUUAGCUCUUUAGCUCAGGGUAAGGAAAAGUGACAAAAUUUGGGGCUGUAAUCCCUAUCUUUGUUCUGCUUCAACCAGCAAACCAAAUAUAGAUGAUUGAAGUAUGGGUAAAUGCCAUGAGGGCAAAUGUAUCCCUCUCUCUCUCUCUCUUUUUUAAGUUUAUUUAUUUAAGAGAGAGAAAAAGAGAGAGAGAGAGCACAAACAGGG
rnacentral:lncRNA from 1 species